rnacentral:tRNA from 1 species
GGGCGAAUAGCUCAGUUGGGAGAGCACCGCGUUCGCAAUGCGGGGGUCGAGGGUUCGAAUCCCUUUUCGUCCACCA